UACGUAGGUCCCGAGCGUUAUCCGGAUUUAUUGGGCGUAAAGCGAGCGCAGGCGGUUAGAUAAGUCUGAAGUGAAAGGCCGGGGCUUAACCAUAGUAUGCUUUGGAAACUGUUUAACUUGAGUGCAGGAGGGGAGAGUGGAAUUCCAGGUGUAGCGGUGAAAUGCGUAGAGAUAUGGAGGAACACCGGUGGCGAAAGCGGCUCUCUGGUCUGUAACUGACGCUGAGGCGCGAAAGCGUGGGGAGCAACCAGG
rnacentral:rRNA from 1 species